rnacentral:rRNA from 1 species
UCCUACGGGGAGCAGCAGUGGGGAAUAUUGGACAAUGGGCGCAAGCCUGAUCCAGCCAUGCCGCGUGAGUGAUGAAGGCCUUAGGGUUGUAAAGCUCUUUCACCGGGGAAGAUAAAGACGGUAUUCGGAGAAGAAGCCCCGGCUAACUUCGUGCCAGCAGCCGCGGUAAUACGAAGGGGGCUAGCGUUGUUCGGAAUUACUGGGCGUAAAGCGCACGUAGGCGGAUAUUUAAGUCAGGGGUGAAAUCCCAGAGCUCAACUCCGGAACUGCCUUUGAUACUGGGUAUCUUGAGUAUGGAAGAGGUAAGUGGAAUUCCGAGUGUAGAGGUGAAAUUCGUAGAUAUUCGGAGGAACACCAGUGGCGAAGGCGGCUUACUGGUCCAUUACUGACGCUGAGGUGCGAAAGCGUGGGGAGCAAAACACGGAAUAGAUACCCUGGGAGUGCACGCCGAAAACGAGGAAGGAAG